CCUGUGUGACAGAGUCUGGCAUUGGGAUGAUGAUACUCUCUGUGUUUUUAAACUCAUUUUUAAAUAACAUACAAGAAUCUAGGGAUAACCCACUGCAUCUCCACUCUCCUCAAAGUGAUCUAAUGUCUGAAAAGGGCUUGCAGGCAUUUCUGAAUUGGUUCCACGUGGAUUUUCUAAAGAGGAGCUGAAGAACCAUGGAACCAGAAACAUCAUUUCUCAAAGAGAAAGAAAUGGAAGGGUGCAUGAGUGAGAGAGCUUCUAUCCUCUGCCUAACCUUCCCAAACUCCAGUCUAGGAUCCAUGCAUUUCCUCCUUACAGGCCCGCCCCGACGUGCGCGCCCGCGGCGAAGGAAGACCGGGGCCUCCCGGAGCCCCUGCGCAGCCGGCUCCGGAGAGCUGGCCCGCAGGGACGUCACGACCCUUCUGGUGUUAGAAGAGCUCCCGGAAUCAUCCUUUCGUCGCGUGCUUCCCCCAAGUCACCUCAAACCACCCUUCACCAACUCGAGAUACCAACCGCCUCGGAUGCCGGCUGUGCGCUCGUUGGCUCGCGAGGCUCGUGCACGCGCGAGCCGGGAGCAUGCGCUUCGGAGAUUCGCCGAGAAGUCCCUUUCCUCCGAGACACUUCAGUGCGCACGCGCACGCUUUGAGUCCCCAGGCCUUUUCACACUGGUAUUCCCGAAUUCCCAAUCCUUAUCCCCUUUUAGCAUGGCAUGAAAAACUGUUUCUAGUAAUUUUUACCUUUGUGUUUCCUCUUUCCCGUUUCUCCUUUGCACGCACUACCAUUUAAUUCAAUAUAUUAUUUGCUCAUUGUCUUCUCUCACGAGAAUGAAAACCAUAU